AACGUAGGAGACGAACGUUAUCCGGAGUUACUGGGCGUAAAGGGCGUGUAGGCGGUUUGUUAAGUCUGGCGUGAAAGCCCUCGGCUCACCCGAGGAUCUGCAUCUCAAACUGCAUGGCUUGAGUAUGGGAGAGGAUGAGGGAAUUCCUGGUGUAGCGGUGAAAUGCGUAGAUAUCAGGAGGAACACCGGUGGCGAAGGCGCUCAUCUGGCCCAAUACUGACGCUGAGGCGCGAAAGCUAGGGGAGCAAACGGG
rnacentral:rRNA from 1 species